rnacentral:rRNA from 1 species
CCGGUAAGAUGGAAACGGAUAGAGCAAGCGUAUCUAGCUUGUAUUCAGCCACCCUGGUCUGGGUGCCCUGUUUGCUGGUCCGACUUCGGCCGGUUGGCGGGUGUCUCCUGGGCCUUGGUGGUGCACUUGCAAGUGGAGUGCGCUGAGGCCUGUGGGUCAGCGGUUGGAAGUGCGCUUUGAGGACACCCUUCGGGGUGAAACCCGGGCGUACCCAAGACUGUUUGUCCUGCUUGUACAUGGGUGUGGCCAACGGGCUUGGCUUGGGCUGAGCUGGUCGUCGGUUACAGUCGCAUGCGACACGUGCUGGUGGUCGGUUUGGUUCGGGUCUGGUUCCCUCGCCCUCCCUCGGUGUAAAAGCUUGUCAUCUAUCCGACCCGUCUUGAAACACGGACCAAGGAGUUUAGAGUAUACGCGAGUCAUUGAGUGGAAAACUCAAAGGCGCAAUGAAAGUAAAGGUAUCCCUUGUGGAGCUGAUAUGCGACCUCGGGUGCUUCGGUGCCCGUGAGCAUCAUAGCCCCGUCCCAAUCGCUUGCGAUGGGGCGGAGGUAGAGCGUAUUCUCUGAGACCCGAA